GUUACAGAGCAGGGUCCCUACGAAGGGUUGUUUCCAGUGGAGAGCAGCAUGUACAUUGAGACUGACUGUUCCUUCCUUUCCUCUCUCCUGUACAACCCCCAAAUCUGCUCCAGAGGAUCCCCAUACCCUCUGGAGCAGACAUUGAGGAUGCUCAGAGGGGUGCAGAGAGGAGAAGAGGGGUCAGUUUCAUUGUGCAAGCAGAGGUCUGUGCACAACUGAAAUGGCAGCCUUGGAUACAGCCCAAUGUAUUUAUUUUAUGUACUGCACUCACUGACCUCCUUUAUGCCGAUGCACUUGGUGUUAGGAUAAUUAUGUGGGAGCUUCAAGUCUCUCCCUCCUGUUCCUUGGACCGGACAGGCCCACUGUAGAAGAACUGACCUGAGAUGCAAUGGAAGAGGCCAAGUGUGCAGAAUCUCAAAGACGAAGGCACCCAUCACCACGUAAGUCAUGAAGCCAGCCAGCAGUAUGACGCCCUGUGCCCUGCUCACACGCAUAUUGUUCUGUGUGGGAAUGAGGGCCAAGGAAGAAGCAGACACAAGAGCGACUAUAGGUGUCUAAAAUAAAAGAUUGAAGACAGAAGUGCCUGGCGUGCUCUGGUCCAUGGGGUCACGAAGAGUCAGAGACGACUAAACAACUAAACAACUAAACAACAACAAAAUAAA